rnacentral:snRNA from 1 species
GGAUGUGAGGGUGUUCUGGCUGCAACCUCUGUCACCCCAUUGAUCGCCAGGGUUGAUUCGGCUGACCUGGCUGGCUAGGCAGGUGUCCCCUUCCUCAACGAUCCAUGUGCAUCCCUCCCAAAGCUGUGCGCUCUGUCGAGGAGGACCACUCCCAGUAGAGGAGGACUGUUCCUUGGUCAGGGGUGUAUGAGUAGCUGUACUCCCCUGUAAGAACCUCCAAACAAGCUCUCAAAGAUCUGAAUUGGAAAAUCAUGAGCUUGGGGGUCACAACACAAGACACCUCUCUUCACCUGUGUGUCCCUCACAUCAGGCUUCCUUG